GUGUGAGAAUACUGAAGGCUGAGAAAGAGCAAAACUGCUGAACUGAGCUCAUGCUCAAACACUUUGUGUCACUCUGAUAAACACUCCUGUCCUCUCAGCAGCUACUCUGCUCCCCUCUCCAGUGUGCUGGGAGACAGCAGCCUGGCAGCAAUGGCCCUACCCUUCUGUGCAGGGCACAAUCACAUCUGAAGAGAUUCCCCAGCACUGGUGAGGCAGCAGAGCCUGGGAUCCUGUUACUCUCACUCCCCUCUUCUGCUGCCAAUUCCUGUGGAGUGGGGGCACCCCAAUUCCUGCAGGGCAGCCACAGCACCCAGCAGGAGUGGGAUCCCCUGCAGGUACCCUUAAUGCACCAGGACACGCCUGCCCUGGUGUGUGAGUACCUGUGGGGAGCAGAAAGCCACAGAACAAACUGGGAUCCUCUCAGGUGAAACUAAACCUGAUGUUCUCCUCCUUCCAGCACAGCCCUGAGCUGAGUUACAGUACUUACAGCUUCCCUGAAACACCCACAGUGCAGCCUUUGGGCCUUCAGCACCACAUGCUCUGCUUUUCAGGCCUGCUCUGACUUUCAUCUGUGCAGGCUUUGUCCUGUGGGCCCAGGGACAGCAAAGGACAAACGCAGCAAGUGAUAUGGAACUUGUUCAGUGUAAUAAAAGAGUCAUGGGAAAAGCAGAGGCAGAGGAAACAAAGCAAAGAAGUUAUAAUUCAGCAUGCUGCUCAAGUUGUUGGGAGAAAAUUUGCGGAGACAAAAGGCAACACUGAACAAUGGCAAAAUUAACUUUGCAGUAACCAAAGCUGGAAUCCAACUCGACUUCAGAUAAA